GUAAAUCCCCUUCCCUAUAGUGACCCUUUAAUGUUAUUAUUUUGUCAUUUAUAUAGCACCAGCAAAUUCCAUAGCACUGUACAAUGGGAUAAACAACUCCUAGUUUACGGAAUAAAAAUAUACACGGCGAGUAAAAAUGUUAUCCCCCCCAGAUUUUUUGAGGUUCCUACGCCCAUGCCUCCUUGUUGUGACUCUCCUAACCAGGUUAUAUAAUGGCAAAUAUCCAUGGUUCAAGAUCCUGUUUGCCAAAUAAAUAAUACAUAAAAAAGAAAAG